rnacentral:rRNA from 1 species
UACGUAGGGUGCGAGCGUUAAUCGGAAUUACUGGGCGUAAAGCGUGCGCAGGCGGUGCACCAAGCUCGAUGUGAAAGCCCCGGGCUUAACCUGGGAAUUGCAUUGAGGACUGGUGUGCUCGAGUGCGGCAGAGGGGGGUGGAAUUCCAGGUGUAGCGGUGAAAUGCGUAGAUAUCUGGAGGAACAUCGGUGGCGAAGGCGGCAUCCUGGACCGGUAUUGACGCUGAGGCGCGAAAGCCAGGGGAGCAAACGGG